GGAAGGAGAAGUCGUAACAAGGUUUUCGUAGGUGAACCUGCGGAAAGAUCAUUAUCAAAACCUGCCAAGCAACACGACCUGCGAACUUGUUUAAACACCUGGARACGUACCGGGGCGGGCCUUGGUCCCCCCCGUUGCUGGCCACACGCCGGGACAAUGCUCCGGGCCUCUCRCCGGGCGACGGGUGCAUUGCCUGGCCUAACAACGAACCCUGGCGUAGACUACGCCAAGGAACKWGAACAAGAGAGCACGCCCCCGGGGCCCCGUUCCACGGGGUACUGGGGUGGKGGUGUCUUCUAUGAAUUAAAAUGACUCUCGGCAWCGAAUAUCUCGKCUCUCGCAUCGAUGAAGAAMGUAGCGAAAUGCGAUACUUGCUGUGAAUUGCAGAAUCCCGUGACCCAUCGAGUUUUUGAACGCAAGUUGCGCCCGAAGCCAUUAGGCCAAGGGCACGCCUKCCUGGGCGUCUCACAUCACUCCGCCACCCUCCCCCGCGRCYCCAUCGGGUCCCGGGUAUCUGGGGGCGCAGAUUAGCACGCCAGUGCGCUGUCAGCCCAAACCGAGUCCCCAGCAAUUGAUGUCACGACAAGUGGUGGGGCAGUAAAUCGUUGUGYCUUGUCGUGUCCUCCUUCGCCAGUUGUCUCUUCCGUGACCUUGAGUACCAUUGUCACGGCGCUUUGAUCGCGACCCCAGGUCAGGCAGGACUACCCGCUGAGUUUAAGCAUAUCAUAAAGCGGAGG
rnacentral:misc_RNA from 1 species